UACGUAGGUGGCAAGCGUUGUCCGGAUUUAUUGGGUUUAAAGGGUGCGUAGGCGGCAUUUUAAGUCAGUGGUGAAAUACUUCAGCUUAACUGGAGAGGUGCCAUUGAUACUGGGAUGCUUGAGUACUGAUGAGGUAGGCGGAAUGGACGGUGUAGCGGUGAAAUUCGUAGAGAUUGGGAAGACCACCGGUGGCGAAGGCGGCCAACUGGACUGGUAUUGACGCUGAGGCGCGAAAGCGUGGGGAGCAAACAGG
rnacentral:rRNA from 1 species